AUUGAACGCUGGCGGCAUGCCUAACACAUGCAAGUCGAACGGCAGCACAAUGUGUAGCAAUACACAUGGGUGGCGAGUGGCGGACGGGUGAGUAAUACGUAGGAAUCUUCCCUAGAGUGGGGGAUAACCCGGGGAAACUCGGGCUAAUACCGCAUAAUCUCUAUGGAGCAAAGCAGGGGACCUUCGGGCCUUGAGCUCUAGGAUGAGCCUACGUCGGAUUAGCUAGUUGGUAGGGUAAAGGCCUACCAAGGCGACGAUCCGUAGCUGGUCUGAGAGGACGGCCAGCCACACUGGGACUGAGACACGGCCCAGACUCCUACGGGAGGCAGCAGUGGGGAAUAUUGGACAAUGGGGGCAACCCUGAUCCAGCAAUGCCGCGUGUGUGAAGAAGGCCUUCGGGUUGUAAAGCACUUUUAGUGGGGAAGAAUGAUUCAAGGUUAAUAUCCUUGAGCAGUGACGUUACCCAAAGAAAAAGCACCGGCUAACUCUGUGCCAGCCGCCGCAGUAAAAC
rnacentral:rRNA from 1 species